CGUUGACUAAUGGAUUUGUGAGUGUUUGUUCCCUUCCAUUUUUAAAAAAUAACUGUUUUUAGAACUGGGUGUAUGGCGGGCUGGGUACGGCUGCUCAGUCAGUGAGAAGUAUCCUUAAUUCCCACCCUGACCUCUUCCCCACCCCCUUAUUUCCAUCUGCUCUUUUCAAUCUGCUGUUUGGAUAUGAGGUAUUCUAAGAUCACAUCGUCUUCCUACAUAAUAAGACAGAAUUUCACACCAAGCUGCUGCCUGGCAGGUGGCAAUGAGGUCAUGUUUGAAGAGUGGGCAAGGUACACCACUUGCAAAUAACCUGAGGAAGGGCUCAGUGUGACUUGUGCUCUAAAGAGAUGCAGGGGCUUGAGACAUGUGUCUUUGAAGCAAACCCCAUGGAGGCUGCAGAGAGAUUUUAACAUUAUUAAGGCACAAGUCACACGAUACCACUGGGGCCACUGCCAACUGAUUUGUGCCUCAUAUUCUGGAAGCAAUUCUUCCCUUUGCUUUUGUAGGACUCUGAAAAAAGUGGCAUCAGUCAGCGAAUGCAUGUUUGUGUAAAUUAUGCAUCUGUGAGUUCAUGCUCACAUGGUAUUCAGGAAGCUCCAUGGUGUAUGGUGGAGGCCUUUGUGGGGGAGGGGAAGAUGGAGAGAGGGGCAAGGAGGGAGAGGGGCUGCCAGGAGAUUGGGAAUCCGGAGGUUUCUGUGAAUAGUGACACCUGAAAUGUUUGGUGUCAGUUCUGUUUCUUCAUGGUGGUGAUCUGCUGAACUGGGCACUGUAAGCCCCAACUCCUCUUGUGAAUAAAUUCUGUUCAACUCCUUGUGAAUAAGGUUGACUGUAAAUGGAGUUUCUACAAGUUGCUUCCGUGAUUGGUGCAGACUGGCAAUGGACGAGAAUGCUGAAGGCAAUGGGGCUGUGUACACCCAUCAAAGCUGCAGGGCCUUUGCACUUCCCAGCCUAGA